rnacentral:tRNA from 1 species
GCCUUCGUGGUGUAGUGGUCAGCAUGCACGGUGGACGCGAAACCGAGAGGUCCUUGGUUCGAUUCCCGGCGAAGGCG